rnacentral:rRNA from 1 species
CGGUCCUAAGGUAGCGAAAUUCCUUGUCGGGUAAGUUCCGACCUGCACGAAUGGAGUAACGAUUUCCCUACUGUCUCCACCAUGAACUCGGUGAAAUUGCAUUACGAGUAAAGAUGCUCGUUACGCGCAGCAGGACGGAAAGACCCCGGGACCUUUACUAUAGUUUGGUAUUGGUGUUCGGUGCGGCUUGUGUAGGAUAGGUGGGAGACUGUGAAGCGGGCACGCUAGUGUUCGUGGAGUCAUCGUUGAAAUACCACUCUGGCCGUAUCGGAUUCCUAACCUCGGCCCGUGAUCCGGGUCAGGGACAGUGCCUGAUGGGUAGUUUAACUGGGGCGGUUGCCUCCUAAAGAGUAACGGAGGCGCACAAAGGUUCCCUCAGCAUGGUCGGAAAUCAUGCGUAGAGCGUAAGAGUAUAUGGGAGCUUGACUGCGAGACGUACAUGUCGAGCAGGGACGAAAGUCGGUUCUAGUGAACCGGUGGUACCUUGUGGAAGGGCCAUCGAUCAACGGAUAAAAGUUACCCCGGGGAUAACAGGCUGAUCUCCCCCAAGAG